CCUACGGGUGGCAGCAGUGGGGGAUAUUGCACAAUGGGGGAAACCCUGAUGCAGCGACGCCGCGUGUGGGAAGACGGUCCUCUGGAUUGUAAACCACUGUCCCCAGGGACGAAGAUGACGGUACCUGGGGCGGAAGCUCCGGCUAACUACGUGCCAGCAGCCGCGGUAAUACGUAGGGAGCGAGCGUUGUUCGAAAUUACUGGGGGAAAGGGGAGCGUAGGGGGGACUGCAAGUUGGGUGUCAAAUCUACCGGCUCAACCGGUAGCCCAACGCAAAACUGCAGUUCUUGAAUGAAGUAGAGGCGGGCGGAAUUCCUGGUGUAGCGGUGAAAUGCGUAGAUAUUAGGAGGAACACCAGUGGCGAAGGCGGCCUGCUGGGCUUUUACUGACGCUGAGGCUCGAAAGUGUGGGGAGCAAACAGGAUUAGAUACCCUAGUAGUC
rnacentral:rRNA from 1 species